GGGCUCCUGAUUUGACAGCCCAUGUACUACAAUUGGAAGGAUACAGAGAAGAUCAGCCUGGCCCCAGGGCAAGGCUGCAAAUGUGGGAAGCAUCCAAUGGCUUG